rnacentral:rRNA from 1 species
AAGUAUAUUAAUUUUAAGUNUAAUNUGCUCACUGUUUAUUUAUAAAGAGCUGCAGUAUAAAUAACUGUACUAAGGUAGCAUAAUAAUUUGUUUUUUAAAUGAAAACUUGAAUGAAAGAUUUAAUGUAAUAAUAUCUAUAUCAAUAUAAAAUUAUUUAAAUUAUAAUUUAAGUAAAAAUUCUUAAAUUAUUUAAAUAAACGAUAAGACCCUAUAGAAUUUUAUUUUUUUUAUUAAUAAAUUAUUUAUUUAUUUAUUAGUUAAAAAAAUUUAAUUGGGGUAAUUGAAAAAUUUAUAAAAUUUUUUUUUUUAAUAUCAUUUUUUAAUGAAUAAUUUAUUUUAAAUUUUAAAUUAAAAAAAUUAAUUACCUUAGGGAUAACAGCAUAAUAUUUUUUAAAAGUUCUUAUUAAUAAAAAUGUUUAU